AUUGAACGCUGGCGGCAGGCCUAACACAUGCAAGUCGAACGAGUGGCGGACGGGUGAGUAAUGUCUGGGAAACUGCCUGAUGGAGGGGGAUAACUACUGGAAACGGUAGCUAAUACCGCAUACCAUCGGAUGUGCCCAGAUGGGAUUAGCUAGUAGGUGGGGUAAAGGCUCACCUAGGCGACGAUCCCUAGCUGGUCUGAGAGGAUGAACAGACACAAUGGAAUGUAGACACGGGCCAGACUACUACGGGAGGCAGCAGUGGGGAAUAUUGCACAAUGGGCGAAAGCCUGAUGCAUCCAGGCCGCGUGGAUGAAGAAGGCCUUCGGGUUGUAAAUUACUUUCCGCGGGGAGGCGUUACCCGCAGAAGAAGCACCGGCUAACUCCGUGCCAGCAGCCGCGGUAAUUC
rnacentral:rRNA from 1 species